GGUUGCCAGGCAGAAGGCGCGGAGGCAUGGCGGGAACGGCGCUGGGCGCGGGGCCGGGCGCGCUGCUGCUGGCGGGGCUGUGGGCGCUGGCGCUGCUGCUCUGCCUGCUGCUCGCUCGCGCCUCGGGGGCCGCGCGGCUGGCCGCGCUGCUCGUGCCGCUGUGCGCCGCGCUGCUGAGCGCCGCGCUGCUGCUGUACCCGCGGGAGGACGGCAGUGCGGGGCCGCCCGCGGGCCCCCAGAUCGUGGACACCUUCCUGGUGGGCCGCCUGGUGCUGCUGGCCUUCAUGGCCCUGCUGCUGCUGGGCUGCGGGCUGCUGCUGGGGAUGCACCUCCUGGAGCCGAUCCACGCCAAGGCGCUGCGCUGCUGGAGGUGAGGCUGUGCCACGGAGCUGUUCUGCAGGGAUUUCGGUGGAUCCCCUUCUGCCCAUCAGCGGAAAUGGGACGAGCGGAGAUGGAGCACUGACUGGUUGGUGGCUCAGUGAUCCGGGGGGCCUCUUCCAGCCGAUUCUGUUAUCCCUGUGAGCCCACCUGUCUCAGGCUGAGCCUGAGGCCUCGGUGAUCCACAUCCCAUCCAGGAGGAUCGUGCUAAAUCCCAGCAAGAGAACCCCCACAUCAGGAGUGCUGUGAGCGGCAGCAGCGGGCUGAAAGCUGCUCAUGGGCUGCUGGGACGACAGCCCUCCUUGCACCAAGCUCUGCCUGCUCAUUAGGAAGGAGCGGGGCUGCUCGGCUGCUGGGAUUCUGGUGCCCAGCACAGGAGAAUCUCCUGCUCCUGAUUUAAGGUCUGUGAGUGACGGCAAUUCCUCACGCCGCGUGCCGUGCUCUGCUGGCGUUUAAUUACUCUCUCUGGCACAGAACUGGCCUCUGAUUUCCACCUUGACUUUGCUGACUUCAGCUUCCCGCUGUUGAGGCCCGCUUUGCCUUUGGCUGCUAAUUAAAAAGCCCUUCAGCGCCCGCCAGCUGCUCCUUGCGCGGGUAAUUACGGCCCGUGCCCGAACCACCUCCUCACCCCUGCAGAGCCAGCACUGCUCCAAAGGCAGCUCGGCCCUUCCUGGCACGGCUCAGAGAGCAGCACUGCAGGUCGCGGAUGGAUGAGCGCACAGGGGCGGCUGCUGGAGGGGAAUGCGGUGCUGCCCCUCACAGCUUUGUGUGCCCUAAAAUCCCAAUUUUCCCAAGCAGAGGAGCAUGAGCUUUUUAGUGCCUGGGUGCUGUGAUCGACCCAGGGAUGCAGCCCUCCCGUUGGUCUCUGAAGUCCCGGCGCGAUGCCUGAUUCCUGGCACUGGGCUCUGGUGUUCCCAGCACUGCAGUCAGGGCUGCUCACAUUUUCCAAGCCCAGCUGCAGCAGAACGCAGCUUCAGUUCAUCCUGGAAAAACUGUGAGCUGAGGCAACAAAGGGCAGAAGGUGGAAAAAAAAAAAAAAAAAGGAAGAAAUGAAAAAAGCCUGUGGUUUUGCAACAAGCCCCUGUGUGUGUGUGUCACAUCUGUGGGAUUUUUGCUUUAGGUGUGUAUUUCAGCCUUCCCCAUCCUCCCAUUGCAAUUAAGGCUAAGCUCAGUUUCACAUGUACCCAGAGUUGGACUCAGUGAUCCUUCAACUCAGGAUAUUCUGUGAUUCUGACUGUUCUCAGCCCAUCUUGGUGAUAUUGUGCUGGCAAACUGGGAAUUUGCUUCUCUCUCUUUCCUCCCUGGUUUGCUGGGUGCACAGCAGUGGCCAUUGCUUUCCAAAUCCAUCCAUCACUGUGCAGGGACACGCUGCACGUUGCUCCACUGCCCCACAGGGCCUUGUUUUUCUUCUUUUCUCCCCUCUUUUCCUCUCCAGCGAUGAAAUCAGCGCAUAAUAAAACACGGGGCCCAGAUGUGUUCUCUUUGGGCCAGGAUCCAUGCGCCCCAAUCCACGCCACCCCUCAUACUGAGCCCCCCCAAACACACAGCUGGCUGCACAGCUGGCAUCACACUAAUUAGGUGGCCCUCCUGUUCCACUCCUCUAAUUAGGAGAUGGCUAACGAAGGCCGUCAGCCUCCUGCACUGAAACGAGAGCACGCAUGCUGAUGCGCCCAUCGGGACCUGUCUCCUGUCCUGAUGCUGAGCGGUACGGCGGGGCAGAGCGGGGUGAACGGAGCCACGAGGAGCAGCAGCGUCUGCACUGCAGCUCACGGGGAAGGGAUGGCGCUGCU